rnacentral:ribozyme from 1 species
GCUACUCGGAAAAUGCACACCGCUACGAGGUAAGCAGCAAGCAACGAUCUAUUAUGAUUGGCUGAGAUGUGAAG